UACGGGGGGGGCAAGCGUUGUUCGGAAUUACUGGGCGUAAAGGGCUCGUAGGUGGCCAACUAAGUCAGACGUGAAAGCCCCGGGCUUAACCUGGGAACUGCGUUUGAAACUGGGAGACUUGAGUGUGGCAGAGGGGGGUGGAAUUCCACGUGUAGCAGUGAAAUGCGUAGAUAUGUGGAGGAACACCGAUGGCGAAGGCAGCCCCCUGGGUUAACACUGACGCUCAUGCACGAAAGCGUGGGGAGCAAACAGG
rnacentral:rRNA from 1 species